rnacentral:lncRNA from 1 species
CGAGGUUAAGGCCUGACUUCUGCACCUGGCCGACCCGGGUUCAAAUCCGCCUGCCGGCUCCUCGGGUGUUUGAGGAGUGAUGAAAUGGGAGGUGGCCCCCCAUCAUAUGGACGGUGUAGGACGUGAUAAUAUCAACUUGCGAGCUAACCAGGAACUAAGUUGAUGCGCCGUUGAUCCGCUAGAUUUGGUUGGAUGCUGGUGGUGAGUUGCCGAACCCAACGAAUACAUUCUGACGUCGGAUGGGGUGACGGAUUAGGGUGCCCCUCUAGCAGGGGAGAGCAGGGACUGCCCGGGAAAGGGGGCCGCUGGCGAAGUUAACCACCCUGUAACAACAUACAUACAAGC